rnacentral:siRNA from 1 species
UAUGGUCGCAAGGCUGAA